rnacentral:rRNA from 1 species
AGUAACGCGUAGGUAACCUGCCUUGUANCGGGGGAUAACUAUUGGAAACGAUAGCUAAUACCGCAUAACAAUGGAUGACACAUGUCAUUUAUUUGAAAGGGGCAAUUGCUCCACUACAAGAUGGACCUGCGUUGUAUUAGCUAGUAGGUGAGGUAACGGCUCACCUAGGCGACGAUACAUAGCCGACCUGAGAGGGUGAUCGGCCACACUGGGACUGAGACACGGCCCAGACUCCUACGGGAGGCAGCAUG